AAGGGACCCGGUCCGCCGGUCCCAUAGGUGCCCGUGGAUCAGCACCCCGGCAAUUAAACAGAAGUAUGGAUCUAGGAAAUUCAUGACUAGCUAUUGGUCUUCCUAUCAGCAGUAGAGAGAUGCCUGGUCAGCAGAUAUAUGUGUCUGAAACCUUUGCAUGGUGUACAUGCUAUACUAUGUAAUAAAUAAAAGGUAGUUUAAUUUUUUAUUAUGCCGCUAAGAUACCCAAUCAGACUGAUUAUACAUACACCCAAAACAAUAUAUUAUAGUCUGAACUAUGAAACUAUACUCAAGAGGAAAGGUUAUACAUCAAUCCUUUCUGCAGAUUUCUUAUCAGCUCAUUCUGUCCUGUAUGAUUAUUUUAUGCCAAGCAAAUUGCUAGAUAUAUUCAUACUCUCCGUUUAACCAUAACAUCAAGAACACCCAAAAAUUAGCAAUCCUAACAGGUCUGCCGCUUGCGGGCAGAAAGUAACUAUCAAGGAAGAAGAGUUAGAUGCUAGCGACAUACCUGUCGAAGAUAUUGGCGGUAAGCAUGUGUCGUACAGGUUAUUUAAGCUUUCCCUUAAGCCAUUCUUAGCCAACCCCGUGCAGUCCAUGCGCUAUGCAUAAGAACCACAGAUCGCUCAAGCAGCGUCGAAGCCUGCCUGUGACUGUUCCAAAUGCAUGCUUAUCAAUCCAGCCAGCUCUGAGGCAAAAACUUGAACACAGAGCUUCACACAGCAAUGUUUGCCUCAGCAACAACGCCGCAGGUAAAUACAUAGCCGGAAAAGAAAAGUUUUGUUUGCAAUUGUUCAUAUACCUUAGUUUCCUAUUCCUGACUCUCUUUGUUCAGAACCGGACCAUCGAUGGAAAAGGGUCCAUUUAGCUGAUGGGGAAUACAUUGUCCAUGGGAAAAACCUGGCUUCCUUUAUGUAACUUGUGUCGCUUUGGAAACAUAAUAAACACUAUGAAUUUCGUGGUGAGAACUACAUAGAUGAAAGAUGAGCUGAGUGACCAUUGUAUAUGGGGAAACAGUGUGACCCUAUACACACGCCAUGUAUAAGAUCAAUGUAAAUGAGCUGCAUGACCUGCCUUCGUACCUUUCUUUGUACAUCGUUAGUCCUUUUGGGCUAUCAUGCUACCAUGACUCAAGUAUAAACCAUUAUGUAUAAAGAUACUAUCUAAGUAUCCAUUUACAUGGUGUUUAAGUCCACUACAGAUCCAACGUAGGUUUGAUAUUAUCUUGCCUGGCCUCAUGCAAAUCUUUCUUGCAUAACAGGAUAUACCUAUUCAGUGAUUUCGCUCCUCUUUAUUGAACUUUUAUUGUUUCUUGCUCAACUAUAUAGGUUAUGAUAAAUAUCGUCGCGUGGCUUAUGGAAGGAGCUGCUGACAGGACUAUCUUAACAACAAACUUGACGGAGUUCUUCACAUAGCAAACAUAGAUGAAGGAACGAUGUAUGCCUUCACCUUUAGGCGCAAGGCAAAGCGCCUCCGCCUCUAACCAUUCACUCCAAAUGAGGACACCAUCAUAAACCUUCAGUGUCACCUAUAUACAGCUUGUGUACAGGACUUCAUGUUUAUAAUACUCC